UGCUGGAGAUCCCUGUGUACCUCAAGCCUUCCAAAGUUUACUAGGGAGAGAGGAAUCCAUGCUCCACCUUGUGCCACAAACCAAGCUCUGGCGUGUUUUCUCCUUCCUUGCAGCCCCUUGGCCCCAUACACAGCAUUUGGCCCCUGCUUCUGAUCUGGAAAAGGAGUGCACCAUCAGCCCCUUGGCCUCAGCUUCACCCCCUGGAUGUGAUGUGUGGGGAGCUGUUUAUUCCAGCAGUGACAUGGGAUUCAUGAAGUAAGAGUUUGGAAGAAGCUGUGCUAAGAAGAAAUCAUGGGACUCGCAUUGUCUGUCACCAUGAUGGAUAGAAACACCCCUUUGUGGUCUGAUACUUGGACUUGCUCAGCUCUUUCAGCUGCAUUCAAUAUGGAUGCUUUGGAGCAGGCUGUGGCUUUAAUGAAGCUGAAGAUUUUACUGUGUUGGUGCUUGCUGUGUCCACAACACCCUGCCCUGCUUGGAGGUAGUUGGGACCAGCUGCAAACCUUUCCAGCUGCCUCGCAGGAACAGCACAGAACUGGGUCAGCCCGCAACAGGGGAGCUAUUCCCCACAGCUCUCAAGAAGCAGCCAGGACCUGGACCAGCGACUCAGCCAUCGCAUGGGGACGACACAAAGUCCUGGCUGCUCUCUUGUCAUCCCG